UACGUAGGGUCCGAGCGUUAAUCGGAAUUACUGGGCGUAAAGCGUGCGCAGGCGGUUUUGUAAGCCAGAUGUGAAAUCCCCGGGCUUAACUUGGGAACUGCAUUUGGGACUGCAAGGCUGGAGUACGGCAGAGGGAGGUGGAAUUCCACGUGUAGCAGUGAAAUGCGUAGAGAUGUGGAGGAACACCGGUGGCGAAGGCGGGUCUCUGGGCCGAUACUGACGCUGAGGAGCGAAAGCGUGGGGAGCAAACAGG
rnacentral:rRNA from 1 species